rnacentral:rRNA from 1 species
CACGCCGUAAACGAUGAAUACUAGGUGUAGGGGUUGUCAUGACCUCUGUGCCGCCGCUAACGCAUUAAGUAUUCCGCCUGGGGAGUACGGUCGCAAGAUUAAAACUCAAAGGAAUUGACGGGGGCCCGCACAAGCAGCGGAGCAUGUGGUUUAAUUCGAAGCAACGCGAAGAACCUUACCUAGACUUGACAUCUCCUGAAUUACUCUGUAAUGGAGGAAGCCGCUUCGGCGGCAGGAAGACAGGUGG